rnacentral:rRNA from 1 species
UCGAACGGUGAAGCCCUUUCGGGGGUGGAUCAGUGGCGAACGGGUGAGUAACACGUGAGCAACCUGCCCCCUACUUCGGGAUAAGCCUUGGAAACGGGGUCUAAUACCGGAUAUGAGCACCNACCGCAUGGUGGGUGUUGGAAAGUUUUUCGGUGGGGGAUGGGCUCGCGGCCUAUCAGCUUGUUGGUGGGGUAAUGGCCUACCAAGGCGUCGACGGGUAGCCGGCCUGAGAGGGCGACCGGCCACACUGGGACUGAGACACGGCCCAGACUCCUACGGGAGGCAGCAGUGGGGAAUAUUGCACAAUGGGCGAAAGCCUGAUGCAGCGACGCCACGUGAGGGAUGACGGCCUUCGGGUUGUAAACCUCUUUCAGCAGGGAAGAAGCGCAAGUGACGGUACCUGCAGAAGAAGCGCCGGCUAACUACGUGCCAGCAGCCGCGGUAAUACGUAGGGCGCAAGCGUUGUCCGGAAUUAUUGGGCGUAAAGAGCUCGUAGGCGGUCUGUCGCGUCUGGUGUGAAAUCCCAUGGCUCAACUGUGGGCUUGCAUCGGGUACGGGCAGACUAGAGUGCUGUAGGGGAGACUGGAAUUCCUGGUGUAGCGGUGGAAUGCGCAGAUAUCAGGAGGAACACCGAUGGCGAAGGCAGGUCUCUGGGCAGUUACUGACGCUGAGGAGCGAAAGCAUGGGGAGCGAACAGGAU